CCACGCGCCUCACGCGUACUAGUAUAAAAAACACCCCUGCCAGAACCGGAUCUGACCAAGGAUUUACUUGUUUCCUCCUCCUCUCUAUUCCCCUCCCCUUGAGACCACACCACAUCACAGAGGCCGCGGCGGCGCCGGCGCCGGCGCUCCCAAUGACGUCGACCACGGCGACAGAAGGCACGUUUUGCUACUUGGCUGGCUGUGGUCGGACACAAGGAGCUCGGGACGGCACAUAUGUUGUGCGGUGCAAGCAACUUCUUCUCUAUUGGAUUGGAUUGGAUUGGAUUUCCGCUGAGAACACGGCAAAGACCGCCAUCCACACCACACCACAGGACGUGUCCGGCGGUCCACUGGGCCAAAGGCCAGAUCUCGGCCCAGGCUACCCCGUACGCAUGAUGUGCGCAGGCCCAACCCGCCGCCUGUGAUCCACCGGGCUCGUUAUUGGGUGGACGGGCCUGGCUAUGGAUGGAUCUGGCCCAACAGGUGCCAUCACCUCCCGACCCAGCGCCGUCUCUCUCUUUUGGGGGAGGAAAGGGCGAGAGGUCGAGGGGCGGCGGCGACGACAGCGUCGACCGGUGGCGGAGGCGGCCGCGACCACCUCAACCCCCCGUGACCAGAGCCGGCCAUCAAUCCGCCAUAGCUUUUCGGGGGAACGUGGUGAGGUCGUUCUGACCGGCGGUGAUCUGUUUUGGAGGCGGCCGUCCCCAGCCCAAGCUCGUCUGCCUAAGGUCGACGGGAAGACGGGACUGAGGCUACAUCUGCGGGUUCUAUCUGUUGAGGACGCUGCCUUUCUUCCAACGAAAGCUUUCUCAGAUGGCCCCCAAGGAGCAACGACUUCACGCUGAUCUGUUCAAGGUGACCCACCAGAAGGUGGUUGAUGCCAUCAGGGCAAACAUACCUAAUCAGACCUCAUAUGAUCAAAUUAAGAUUAUCCAACUCAGCUGCGAGCCGACAGAUGAAGAAUUGUUGAUGUUUUAUGCGGAGGUCCAUAAUCACCUAUUGGAGGUGGCAUCCCUUUCUAUCAACAAGAACGUUGAUUUCUUUGCGCCAGAGGAGGGAUUCGCGGAAGGCUUUGUUCCUGAGAUUGCAGAAGGACUACCAGUUUUAAGGCCUCAAACUAAGAAUAUAUCAUAUUUCAUUGUCGAGUUUGUUGGUGGUCCUGGAGAACCACGCCUGCAAUUUGCUGUUCGCCAUGACAACCUGUACUGUGUCGGUUUCCGGGUGUUGUCUGCCAAUGAUAACGCAAAAACCAAAGCUUGGUCCUCUUUUGGUGAUGUUAACCUUUUGAAGUGUGCUGCAUUUCCUAAUGUUGAGGCAUCUAGAUUGUCAGAGAGCUAUAAAUCUUCCAAAUCAGUGCGAAUAUACCCCAAGGUUUUCUGACGAAUAUAUAUGUACUUCUCCAAAUACACUUGCAAUUCUGCUGUAGCUGUUGGGGAAUUGUUAAAAGACACAUUGUUUGUCGUUAUCUGUGAGGCAAGUCGCUUUGGGUUUGUCCAAAGGUUGACUUUUCAAGGAAUGCAUGCUUUUGAAGUUCCAGUUGGACUCACUGAUUUGAUGGAUAAUAUUAUUCAUGAUUACAAGGAUUUGUCAUUAGGGCACUGUUGAUAUUGCUGUAUGAGCUAGAAGAGAAAUUUGAGCGUGGCUGAGAGAUCAUGCUACCAUACUGAAGAUCAACUAGCAGCUGCACUAGUUGGAUUCAACAGUUAUUGACUGAUGUUUCUUAUUGAUUGCUGCUGAUUUGCUGAGAAAUGGCUCCUUAUGAUGAUUCAAUCUUUAUCCCAAGUUAUCCAUAUGACGCUUUUGAAGUUUAAUCUCUGAUGCUGUGUUGUCCCUGCCUCAUAUCAAUUGCUUUGAAAUGGCUCCUUAUGAUGAUUCAAUCUUGAUGAUGGCCUCUGCUUCUUGAUGGCCGUUUUCUAUGAUGUCCCUGCUUCUUCCUGAUGGUAGCCCAUGUGAUUUUGGCUGCUGUAGAUGACACUAGCCUUGUUAUUUGUUCAUUUUGUCCUUUCUCAGACAGUGGCUUUGCCGUUUUUGAGCUUGUGGCUGAUACUGCCUUAGGCUACUAGUUUACUGAAGUAGAACUCAGUGUAUUUUUUGUUGCUUGUGCCUUGUGUACCAUGGAAUUGCUGGCUGAUCUGCCUUGGGCUGCUAGUUUACUGAAGUAGCAUACCUCUAUGCUCAGUGUAAUGUUGUUGCUACUCACUGAAGAGCUCACUUUAUCAUUUCUGGGUAGCCUGAGGAUAAUGAAAUACGUGUACGAUGCGUUUGGUAGUCAACAAACUUUGUUAUCCAUGUAUUGGAGUUGAUGCUUGCCGAAA